rnacentral:lncRNA from 1 species
AUGGUCAAGGUGAAAGAAUUUGCCAUACUGAUAGGGCUGCCUUCAAUUUGGGCAAAACGGGUACUGUUGCUACCAAUGACCCUUUACUGACCUCAACUACUUGGUCUACAUGUUCCAGUAUAAGCCCUACCUAUAGUCCAUGGCACAGUUAAUGCCUGAGAAUGGGAAACUUGUCAUCAACACGAAGAAGCCUAGCUCCAUCUUCCAGGAACAACAUCCUGCUAACAUCAAAUCAGGUGACGCUGGUGCUGAGUAUGUUGUGGAGUCUGCUAGUGUCUUCACUUUAUAGUGCGGGCCAGGACCCACUUGCAGAGUGGAGUCAAAAGAGCUAUCAUCAUCUCUGCCCCUUUUGCUGAUGCCCCAACACAUACCCAAGUGAUGGGUACAAACCACAAGUGGCACUUCACUUGUAAGCAAUACCUUCUGCAUCCCCAACUGCUUAGAGCUCACGACCAAAGUCAACAAUGACAACCGAAUGUCAUGGAAGGACUCCAGGGCACGAACCAAGCCAUCACUGCCAUUCAGAAGACUGUGGAUGGCCCCUCGGGAAAGCUGUGGGGCUGGCCAGCCUUUAUUAUCACUGCAGCCACUACUGCUGUCUAAGCUGGGGAAAGGCCAUUCCAACCCGGGAGGGAAGCUCACUGGAAGGCCUUCUGUGUCCCUGCCUGCAGUGUGUCCACUGUGGAUCUGACAUGCCGCCGGGAGAAAGCUGCCAAGUAGGAUGACAUCAAGAAGGGGCAAAGCAGGCAUUGAAGGGCCACCAAAGGGCCUCCUGGGCUGUGAUGAGAACCAGGUUGUUUUAUGCAAUUUGUAUAGUAAUGCUCACUCUUCCAUCCUUGGUGAUAGGCUGGUGUUGCUCUCAGUGACAACUCUGUAAAGCUCACUUCCUUAUGUGACAACAGAUAUGGCUACAACAAUAGUGGUGGACCUCAAGGCCCACAUGGUCUCCAGGAGUAA